rnacentral:rRNA from 1 species
CCUACGGGUGGCAGCAGUGGGGAAUAUUGGGCAAUGGGCGCAAGCCUGACCCAGCAACGCCGCGUGAAGGAAGAAGGCUUUCGGGUUGUAAACUUCUUUUCUCAGGGACGAAGAAAGUGACGGUACCUGAGGAAUAAGCCACGGCAAACUACGUGCCAGCAGCCGCGGUAAUACGUAGGUGGCAAGCGUUAUCCGGAUUUAUUGGGUGUAAGGGGGGGUAGGCGGGAGCGCAAGGCCGAUGUGAAAAACCAGGGCUCAACCCUGAGCCUGCAUUUGAAACUGUUGUUCUUGGGUGCUGGAGAGGCAAUCGGAAUUCCGUGUGUAGCGGUGAAAUGCGUAGAUAUACGGAGGAACACCAGUGGCGAAGGCGGAUUGCUGGACAGUAACUGACGCUGAGGCGCGAAAGCGUGGGGAGCAAACAGGAUUAGAUACCCGGGUAGUC